UACGUAGGGUCCGAGCGUUGUCCGGAAUUACUGGGCGUAAAGAGCUCGUAGGCGGUUUGUCGCGUCUGCCGUGAAAGUCCGGGGCUCAACUCCGGAUCUGCGGUGGGUACGGGCAGACUAGAGUGAUGUAGGGGAGACUGGAAUUCCUGGUGUAGCGGUGAAAUGCGCAGAUAUCAGGAGGAACACCGAUGGCGAAGGCAGGUCUCUGGGCCGAUACUGACGCUGAGGAGCGAAAGCGUGGGGAGCGAACAGG
rnacentral:rRNA from 1 species